AGGGAAUUUUCGGCAAUGGGGGAAACCCUGACCGAGCAACGCCGCGUGAAGGAAGAAGUAAUUCGUUAUGUAAACUUCUGUCAUAGAGGAAGAACGGUGGAUAUAGGGAAUGAUAUCCAAGUGACGGUACUCUAUAAGAAAGCCACGGCUAACUACGUGCCAGCAGCCGCGGUAAUACGUAGGUGGCGAGCGUUAUCCGGAAUUAUUGGGCGUAAAGAGGGAGCAGGCGGCACUAAGGGUCUGUGGUGAAAGAUCGAAGCUUAACUUCGGUAAGCCAUGGAAACCGUAGAGCUAGAGUGUGUGAGAGGAUCGUGGAAUUCCAUGUGUAGCGGUGAAAUGCGUAGAUAUAUGGAGGAACACCAGUGGCGAAGGCGACGAUCUGGCGCAUAACUGACGCUCAGUCCCGAAAGCGUGGGGAGCAAAUAGGAUUAGAUACCCUAGUAGUCCACGCCGUAAACGAUGAGUACUAAGUGUUGGGGGUCAAACCUCAGUGCUGCAGUUAACGCAAUAAGUACUCCGCCUGAGUAGUACGUUCGCAAGAAUGAAACUCAAAGGAAUUGACGGGGGCCCGCACAAGCGGUGGAGCAUGUGGUUUAAUUCGAAGCAACGCGAAGAACCUUACCAGGUCUUGACAUCGAUCUAAAGGCUCCAGAGAUGGAGAGAUAGCUAUAGAGAAGACAGGUGGUGCAUGGUUGUCGUCAGCUCGUGUCGUGAGAUGUUGGGUUAAGUCCCGCAACGAGCGCAACCCCUGUUGCCAGUUGCCAGCAUUAAGUUGGGGACUCUGGCGAGACCGCCGGUGACAAGCCGGAGGAAGGCGGGGAUGACGUCAAAUCAUCAUGCCCCUUAUGACCUGGGCUACACACGUGCUACAAUGGACAGAGCAGAGGGAAGCGAAGCCGCGAGGUGGAGCGAAACCCAUAAAACUGUUCUCAGUUCGGACUGCAGUCUGCAACUCGACUGCACGAAGAUGGAAUCGCUAGUAAUCGCGAAUCAGCAUGUCGCGGUGAAUACGUUCUCG
rnacentral:rRNA from 1 species